CCUAGAAAAUGUAGAAGAACUAUGUUACAGCUUCUGAGGGAGAAGUUCGCCACAUGUAAAGAGUUUUCUACUUUUUAUUGUUUAUUUUUGUAGUGUUUGGGAUGGAACCCAGGGCCUCACACAUGUCUGGCAAAGGCUCUAUCACCAAGCUAUACCCUCAGGCAUAAGACUGUUAAUAUUUAAGAAAAACAUCUAGAAACUUUCCACAUCCAGCAGAAUUUAAAGCAGGAAUUCCUUCUGAAUCACUCUUUAGACAGCAUAGAACUUGCUGGACACUGGUCUCUCCCAUCUCCUGACUAGCUUCUACCUCCCUGUCUCCUGAUUGGCUGCCUCUUUACCAUUUAUGACAAGACAAUGCAAGGAAAAUAGAUUCCUCCAUCCUGAAGCCAAAAGUCAAAGCAGAGAUACCUACUAUUCAUCUCCUUCCCCUGAAAUCUGGUCUGAUCCAAUCCAGCUCCUCGAGGUCACCAGAGGCCCUGACUCCGAGGGCACUCCAGUCGUGGGUUCACUCCUUCUGCCCAAACCCCAAUGUGGCCCUCAGCUGUGAAAAGCAAAGUGAAGGCUGUUUAUUCUUUCACUUUGUCCCUGAAACUCCUACUUAUGAACUCCUGAUGAUGUUUCACACGGGGAUAAGAGGCUGAAGGGCAGUGAAAAGAUGCUGAUACUUUCUCUAGUUAGAGAAUGUGUAUUUCCCCACCUCUCGUCAAAAUCUUUUUAGCGUCAGUGGCUCUUCAUGACCCCUCAACAGGGUAUGCCUUCAAACCCUUCCAAGACCUUCCAGGAUGUUGAACCAGAGGACAGUGUGAAGAGUCCAGGCAGUAUUCCAGAGAAAACACCUCAAAGGAUUUUACUGUAUGGCCAUUUCUGCAAGAAAGAAGUGGAGAGUCUGAGUGUGAGAAGCUGUACUGGAGACAACAGCAGCCCAAGGAAGGAGGAGCCCAGCUCUGCGCUCCCUGGACAGCAUGGAGAAGUCCUCCCAGAGACAAGUGUGUCCGGCAAUUGUCACCUGCCCAUCAAGAUGAUAAAGAUGAUAAGAGAUGGCAAUGUUAGCUACCUUGAUCUGAUCACUGCACUCUGUAACACAUAUUGAAUUAGUGCAAUUUUCUGCACACAUUUAUACAUGUGAAAUAGUACUGCAUUUUAAAAUAAUGUCUGUGUACUAUGUAAUAUGAAGGGAACAAAGACAAGCACAAAAAGUUAGAAAUCAUCUCCAAUUCCACAGGGGGGAAAAUCCAAUUCAAAAAUUUUAAAAUUUUAUUGCACGUAUCCUAACGUUAUACAUAAAAUUCAUAAAGAAAAUAAAUUUUCUUAGCGUUAUUCCCAGAAGUCAAUUUUUGAACAGAGAAGCAGGGGUGUGGUGCAGCUCAGCAGUAGGGGGCUUGUCAAACAUGUGUAUGGCCCCGAGGUUGAUCCCCAGAAAUAAGAAUCAAUCAGCCAAUCAAUCAACCAAUAAACACAUAAGACUAGAAUUUCUCUUACUAUGAACUACUGUAGAGUUAUUAGGUGUGAGAAAUCCAUUUGGAUUCAGAGGAAAGUCUCAACAUCUCUCCGACUUAGUGAAGUUGGAAAAAGAGAUAACAAGCAAAUUCCAUUACUGCUGCUAACCAAAAUCAAAUGUACCACCAAAAACAGUAGUAGCAACUAGCACCCAAGUAAUUGUAGUUCUACCUUUUGAUAUACUCAAAAGCAAAAUUCAUUCCUCAUUUUGUAACUUAGUGCAACAAAACCACACUUUAGUUUCACAAUGAAAGAAUAAAAACAUAAAUAAAUUGCUUGUGAUGUGGUAUGCAUAGUAAUGUGGGGAAUAUAUUCGAAUAGGUAGCAGCUGUACAAAACUAUUCUUGAUUUCAUUGUGGUCCAAAAUGCUAUUAGUCCCUGACAAAACAGAAGAAUAUUGUCAAAAAUGCAGGCCCUGUUUUGUUUGUAAAUGAGGCUGAAUAAGCCAGCAUGCUUGGGAACAGCACAUCAGGGACCCUGGGCACUGUGUUCACCUGUGCAGGCCCCAUGGCACCUGCCACUGCUCUGAGCCCAAAUCACAGUGCAGGUGUAGCUGGGGCAGAACAUGGCAGGAUUUCAAAUGCCUAGGCCCAGUCUGCUCUGCGUCAUGUUGUUUUUCCUUUCUGAGAGCCACUUUCUUCAUUUACUCCUAUAAGCCAAUUAUAUAAGUGCAUUCAUUUGUUCUUGUUACGAGAGCCAUGAUUGAUCAUUUCUUAAAAGAAAUUGUUGGGAUAUACGAACAAUGGGGGAAGAAGUUGGGAAACCAAAUGAGCUUUAGAAUCAUGUUCACGCCACAGGCCUCAAGAGGGGUCUGCCUUAUGCAGAUGUGAUUUAAGCAUCUUCAGGCCCGUUUCCUCCUCUGCAAAAUAGGGAUGAUAAAGAUGCAUCAUUGACAGAGUUCUGAGAAGUAAAGGAUAUAAGACAUAUCAUGUAAUUAGUGAACAGCCUGCUUUUUCUCUUUUAAAGACAGGAAAUUACAUGUAUGAAUUAAUCAAGUCUGGAGGAUGACUUCUAAUGACUUGGACGGUGCCUUCGAUAUGGCACUAACGUAUCUAACAGCAUUUCCUCACACAGGCCAGGCAUAGAACUCUAGAUUCUGAGGUCAGUUGAAAGUAUAGAUGUCCGCUGAUAGACAAGAACAACCAAGGCAACAUUUGUAGGCAUAACCAAGCCAUCUCAUUUUGGGGAAAUAUUCGGCCUGCCCUAAACCUACAGCUCCUUUACUUAUGGCUCCAUCAGAACGUCAAUCCAUAAUAAAGCAGAGAGACUUUAUUUCUUGAUAACUAUAGAAAGAAAUAAAACAUUUAUAAUCAUCAUCAUCAUCAUCAUCAUUGUUCAUCUAGUUUCCGCUGGCUAAGCCAGAAACAGAGGUAUAUCCUUAACUUCUAAAACAUAAAACUGGCCACACUAUUUUCCUGCUCAAAUCAUUUUAAUGAUGUCUACUGUCUGGAGACUUUUCUCAGCAAUAUCAAAGCAUAAUCCAUGUACAAUAAAGCAGCACAUACGGCAAAUGUGCAACUGGAUGGGUUUGAUAUGAGACCGUCGUCACUACAGCAAAGAUAAUGACCAAACUCAAAAGUUUCCUUGUGUCCUCGCACUCUUCCUGUCAUCUGCCUCUUGCAUCUCCCCUGCCUAUCCAGAGCAACCACGGCUCUCUGCUUUCCGAAACGGAAGCCUCGUCUCUCGUUUCAUAGAGGAUGUCACCGUUUGUGUUUGGCUCAUUUCUCUCAGUACAGCUACUCAGAGACUCAUUUGAGCUACUGCAGGUAACACUAGAUAACUCCUUUUCAUUCCAGGCAGCAUGCUGUUGUAAGGAUUCACCCGUGUGUUCCUCCAUUCACCUCCAAAACUAAGCCAUAGACGUUUGGGUUAGCUCCAGUUUGGGGGUGUUACAAAUAAGUCAUGUCUUGAGUUCUAUGUCAAAGUUUCUAAACAGUUUAUGUUUGGAUGCAAAUCUUUAUGUUUUAGUGUCUGCCUGUUUGUGAUCAUCUUUUACCCUCCCACCCUGAUACACUAUGGCACAGUUAAAAACUUCUCUCCUUAGCCCCUUGCCAUGACAUUCCCUCCUCAUUCGUCCAACCCAGAAAAGCCUAUUGUCGCAUCUUCCCUUCCAUUGGAUGCUCUCCCUGGGCCAGUCAGGGGUGAGUUCUCAUCUCUGCAGGCUCAGCUCAACCUAUAGGACCCCACCCUGCCCAUCUGCUUUAUUUAAAUUAUCUGCUUAGAUAUUCACAUCCCCCUGAUAGUUUACAUUUUCACAUUUUAGCAUGU
rnacentral:lncRNA from 1 species